rnacentral:rRNA from 1 species
CCUACGGGGCGCAGCAGUGGGGAAUAUUGCACAAUAGGCGCAAGCCUGAUGCAGCCAUGCCGCGUGUAUGAAGAAGGCCUUCGGGUUGUAAAGUACUUUCAGCGAGGAGGAAGGCAUCAGGGUUAAUAACCUUGGUGAUUGACGUUACUCGCAGAAGAAGCACCGGCUAACUCCGUGCCAGCAGCCGCGGUAAUACGGAGGGUGCAAGCGUUAAUCGGAAUUACUGGGCGUAAAGCGCACGCAGGCGGUCUGUCAAGUCGGAUGUGAAAUCCCCGGGUUCAACCUGGGAACUGCAUUCGAAACUGGCAGGCUAGAGUCUUGUAGAGAGGGGUAGAAUUCCAGGUGUAGCGGUGAAAUGCGUAGAGAUCUGGAGGAAUACCGGUGGCGAAGGCGGCCCCCUGGACGAAGACUGACGCUCAGGUGCGAAAGCGUGGGGAGCAAACAGGAUUAGAUACCCCAGUAGUC